rnacentral:rRNA from 1 species
AACGAACGCUGGCGGCAGGCUUAACACAUGCAAGUCGAACGCCCCGCAAGGGGAGUGGCAGACGGGUGAGUAACGCGUGGGAAUCUACCCAUCCCUACGGAAUAACGCAUGGAAACGUGUGCUAAUACCGUAUACGCCCUACGGGGGAAAGAUUUAUCGGGGAUGGAUGAGCCCGCGUUGGAUUAGCUAGUUGGUGGGGUAAAGGCCUACCAAGGCGACGACCCAUAGCUGGUCUGAGAGGAUGAUCAGCCACAUUGGGACUGAGACACGGCCCAAACUCCUACGGGAGGCGGCAGUGGGGAAUAUUGGACAAUGGGCGCAAGCCUGAUCCAGCCAUGCCGCGUGAGUGAUGAAGGCCUUAGGGUUGUAAAGCUCUUUCACCGGAGAAGAUAAUGACGGUAUCCGGAGAAGAAGCCCCGGCUAACUUCGUG